UACGUAGGGGGCAAGCGUUAUCCGGAUUUAUUGGGCGUAAAGAGCUCGUAGGCGGCCGACUAAGUCGGACGUGAAAUCCCUCGGCUUAACCGGGGAACUGCGUCCGAUACUGGUUGGCUUGAGUUUGGGAGAGGGAUGCGGAAUUCCAGGUGUAGCGGUGAAAUGCGUAGAUAUCUGGAGGAACACCAAUGGCGAAAGCAGGUACCUGGACUAUUACUGACGCUCAGCUGCGAAAGCUAGGGGAGCAAACAGG
rnacentral:rRNA from 1 species